AACACAUGCAAGUCGAACGGUAACAGGAAGAAGCUUGCUCUUGCUGACGAGUGGCGGACGGGUGAGUAAUGUCUGGGAAACUGCCUGAUGGAGGGGGAUAACUACUGGAAACGGUAGCUAAUACCGCAUAACGUCGCAAGGACCAAAGAGGGGGACCUUCGGGCCUCUUGCCAUCGGAUGUGCCCAGAUGGGAUUAGCUUGUUGGUGGGUAACGGCUCACCAAGGCGACGAUCCCUAGCUGGUCUGAGAGGAUGACCAGCCACACUGGAACUGAGACACGGUCCAGACUCCUACGGGAGGCAGCAGUGGGGAAUAUUGCACAAUGGGCGCAAGCCUGAUGCAGCCAUGCCCGCGUGUAUGAAGAAGGCCUUCGGGUUGUAAAAUACUUUCAGCGGGGAGGAAGGGAGUAAAGUUAAUACCUUUGCUCAUUGACCGUUACCCGCAGAAGAAGCACCGGCUAACUCCGUGCCAGCCGCCGC
rnacentral:rRNA from 1 species